GCCAACAUGGUGUAGCGGUUUGAGUGUUGGACUAUGACUCUGGAGACCAGGGUUCGACUCCCAGCUUGGCC
rnacentral:tRNA from 1 species